UAAAUCUUAGUUUAUUAGAAUAAUCGAUUGUUACUCGAUAGGUGGGCCUGAAUGCCCAGGUUUAG
rnacentral:tRNA from 1 species